rnacentral:lncRNA from 1 species
UUGGUUUCUUCGUAAUACAGAAAUCGGUUACCCUAUAUCAUACAUGGAACAAGCCCAGAGGAACAUUAUCAGAUUGCUGAUUUACUUCUCAUGGCUAGCCGGGUGCCUGAAAAUUCCGCUGGAAGAACUCAAGAUUUUCCUUUUAUUCCAUGCUUUGAGGCAGAGAGGUAACCAUCUAAGCAUUUUAAAUUCAUGGAAAUAUUUAAUCUUCACAUUAUGCCUAUAAGGAACUGCAUAUUGAGUCUUGAAAGUAUCUAGUACAUGUACUGGAGGAACUCCAAUAUUUAAAACCAAAGAAGAAAUCUGAUGAAGGAGACUAAAAGGAAGCCUCUAGAUGAAGAAGAAAAAUGAAGAGAACAUUAUUACAUGGGAGCUAAGAAAAGAGACUGUCGCAAAAAAUAGGAGUUUGAUCUUCUUGAUGAACAUUAUAAUCAUUUUGUCAGGAUUUGGUCCAGAAUUGGAUUACUUUUAUAAAUACUGCCAAGACGAUGAUAACCUGUAUUUAGCUUAAUGUAAGGAUAUCAUAGAAAUGUCUGACAAAUGUCUGUAUGCAUUCAUGUUCAUUAUGCACUUCCUCAUGGAUUCUUCUGGAUGAUUAUAAUUAUUUAAAUUAUUGAGCUGGAUGCUUAGUUUAGUAUUCAUUUUCUCUUUAUCCUCACAGGCAAAAUACAAUAUACUUUCGUCAUGUUUGAU